rnacentral:lncRNA from 1 species
CGAGCGCGGAGCUGAGUGAACAAGAGGUUCAGCAGGAGCAAGUUGGUUAAGUGUAUCUGCACAGAGCUCAUCCAAGGAAUCUCUCUGAGCAAAAAAAAAAAAAAUAGAGCACCCACACACACACAAACACACACACAUACACACACACACGCACGCACUUCCACAGUGUACACUACAAAGCAAAGCCAGCGCUCUGAGUCAAGCCUCCAGUCUCCCUCUUCAUCUCCUCUUCUCACCACUCUCCUUCUCUUUUUUCGUCUCUUGCGCUCCAUCUGUGUCAGUGGAGGCUCUUACGGCUCAAUCAGGCUCGCAAAGACGCUCAGGAGCACCUGCUCUUUGUCUGCCGUCACCCUCGCUCAGAGAUCUCUGGGUGUGUGCCAGUUCUCAAACAGCAGUAAAACACCUGCCCAAGCAACAAGAAGUGGUAUGAGCCCCUAGCUGGUGCUGCGUCGUCGAGUUCUGGACAGACACGCCAAAUCUGAGACCAUGAAUUGAAGACUCUCCUCAAAGAAACUCCUCCAAACUAUCUGCACUACUGCUCAUUGGCUUUGUUGUGGUCGUACGUGACUGAGCCCACAUCCUGCCCUGCUGUUAUAU